rnacentral:rRNA from 1 species
UACAGAGGGGGCAAGCGUUGUCCGGAUUUAUUGGGCGUAAAGAGCGUGUAGGCGGCCAGGUAGGUCUGCUGUGAAAAACUCGAGGCUCAACCUCGAGACGUCGGCGGAAACCAUCUGGCUAGAGUCCGGAAGAGGUGAGUGGAAUUCCUAGUGUAGAGGUGAAAUUCGUAGAUAUUAGGAAGAACACCAGUGGCGAAGGCGGCUACACUGGCCCGGGUACUGACGCUGAGGCGCGAAAAGCGUGGGGAGCAAACAGG